UGGAGCCAUCCUUGAAAUACCACCCUGGCAUGCUUGAGGUUCUAACUCUGGUCCGUUAUCCGGAUCGAGGACAGUGUAUGGUGGGCAGUUUGACUGGGGCGGUCUCCUCCUAAAGAGUAACGGAGGAGUACGAAGGUGCGCUCAGACCGGUCGGAAAUCGGUCGCAGAGUAUAAAGGCAAAAGCGCGCUUGACUGCGAGACAGACACGUCGAGCAGGUACGAAAGUAGGUCUUAGUGAUCCGGUGGUUCUGUAUGGAAGGGCCAUCGCUCAACGGAUAAAAGGUACUCCGGGGAUAACAGGCUGAUACCGCCCAAGAGUUCAUAUCGACGGCGGUGUUUGGCACCUCGAUGUCGGCUCAUCACAUCCUGGGGCUGAAGCCGGUCCCAAGGGUAUGGCUGUUCGCCAUUUAAAGUGGUACGCGAGCUGGGUUUAGAACGUCGUGAGACAGUUCGGUCCCUAUCUGCCGUGGACGUUUGAGAUUUGAGAGGGGCUGCUCCUAGUACGAGAGGACCGGAGUGGACGAACCUCUGGUGUUCCGGUUGUCACGCCAGUGGCAUUGCCGGGUAGCUAUGUUCGGAAAAGAUAACCGCUGAAAGCAUCUAAGCGGGAAACUUGCCUCAAGAUGAGAUCUCACUGGAGCCUUGAGCUUCCUGAAGGGCCGUUGAAGACUACAACGUUGAUAGGUCGGGUGUGUAAGCGCUGUGAGGCGUUGAGCUAACCGAUACUAAUUGCCCGUGAGGCUUGACCAUAUAACACCCAAACA
rnacentral:rRNA from 1 species